rnacentral:lncRNA from 1 species
ACUACUGGAAUCUCUUGGAUACAAACUUCUUUCUUGGGUUUACCUAGUUAGGGAAAAUACAAUAUUAAGGCACUGGGAAUUAAGAAGAAAAGAAUUUGUCAUUAGGGAAAAUCAGUACCGAAUAAUUUUAUUAACUUGUGAAUGGCUCCUCGUUGGGAGGAUUAAAUACAAUCUUUUUAUUAAAGUAGUCUAUGGUGGCGUGAUACGCCGCUAGCCAAUCCAUUCAUAGGAUUACAUCAAAAUCCCCUGUGUCUAACCCUAUCAGGUCUACCCUCAAUUUCCUAUCUGCUAUCUCCACGGCACAUGCCCUGUAGACAACCUCUCUUAGCAAUGUCUCCCCCCCAGCGGUAGAUACAAGCA